rnacentral:rRNA from 1 species
CCUACGGGUGGCAGCAGUGAGGAAUAUUGGUCAAUGGACGGAAGUCUGAACCAGCCAUGCCGCGUGCAGGAAGACGGCUCUAUGAGUUGUAAACUGCUUUUGUACAAGGGUAAACCUGAAUACGUGUAUUCAGCUGAAAGUACUGUACGAAUAAGGAUCGGCUAACUCCGUGCCAGCAGCCGCGGUAAUACGGAGGGUACAAGCGUUAUCCGGAUUUGUUGGGUUUAAAGGGUGCGUAGGCGGAUUGAUAAGUUAGAGGUGAAAUGUCCGGGCUUAACUCGGGAACUGCCUCUAAUACUGGUGGUCUAGAGAGUAGUUGCGGUAGGCAGAAUGUAUGGUGUAGCGGUGAAAUGCUUAGAGAUCAUACAGAACACCGAUUGCGAAGGCAGCUCACCAAUCAAAGUCUGACGUUGAGGCACGAAAGCGUGGGGAGCAAACAGGAUUAGAUACCCGGGUAGUC